rnacentral:lncRNA from 1 species
GAUGAUUAUAAUUUUUUAUGACUUUUGUUUGAAAUAUUGUUGAUUUUUUGAUAUUUUCUUUUCUCAGAUUUAAGGAAAUCUUUUUCUCUUUUCUCUUAUGCUAACUAUGACUUAUAGCAAUUUGGUGAAAUUGCACCUUGGUGAGCAGAACUGAAACAUUUAUCUUUUUCUCCCUACCUGAUCCCUCCAGAAUAUAGAAACUCUUUGUGAUUUUGCCUCCUGGACCACUUCUCAUCAAAUGAUUCUCUUGUCUCCAGAGGAUCUGUAUACCUUGUCAACCUUGGACUCCAUUGGCGCAACCUCUGGUCCACUGAACUUCCUGCCUUUAUGUCCCCCAUUUGGGACAGCUCUACAGCUUUGUUACAGAAGAUUGACCAUCGUCCAUAACCACAAAGGAUUUUGGGGCCAAAUGGGUUUAAGGGGGGAUUUUAUGAUGAGGAAUCAAGGCUGCCCCAGGGAGAAGCCCAAGGCGUCCUUGCCUACAUGCCAAUCUAUAUCAUCCUCCAGGAAGUAUAGGACGUCCUGAGCUGAAUCGACCUAAUUUGUAUCCAAAAUUAUAGGACCACCUGAUAACCAGACCCCACCUGCACUAAUACCAUUUUAACGAUUUUUUUUACAUGAUCUUCCCUUGUAAAUAACUCACAUACCUAUGCCUUAUAAAUUUAGCCCUACCCUCAACCCAUUGCAGCUCUUCACUGCCCAUGGGUCCUGUCCCCAUGCUCUUCUCUGAAUAAAGGAGCACUACUGCCAGACCUUGAGAGUCCAAGAAAUCUUUCUUUUGACUCCUCGGCUCACCAAGCAUGCAUUGUCAAGCCAUGACAAGACAUGGAGGAAAUUUAAAUGCAUAAUACUAAGUUAAAGAAGCCAAUCUGAAAGGCUACAUACUGUGUAAUUCCAACUAUAUGACAUUCUGGGAAAGGCAAAACUAUAGAGACAGUAAAAAGUUCAGUGGACAGGUGUUGGAGGGUUGAAUAGGCAGAACACAGAGGAUUUUAGGGCAGUGAAAAUACUCUGUAUGAUACUAUAAUGGUGGAGACAUGUCAUUAUACAUUUGUCCAAACCUAUGCAAUGUACAACACCAGAGUGAGCCCUAACGUGGACUAUGGACUCUGGAUGAUAAUGAUGUGUCAGUGUAGGUUCAUUGACUGUAACAAAUCUAACACUCUGGUGUGGGAUGUUGGUCAUGGGGACACUGUGCUUGUGUGAGGUUUAGGGGAACUCUGCACUUUCUGCUCAAUUUUGCUGUGCACCUAAAACUGC